GGGAGCUCUGGAGGGACAGAGAACAAAAGCAAUAUGAUACUAACGUUACUGUGAUGAGAGAAAAACAGACAUCUGAGCAGACAAAUACAACGAGUAUGUCUUUAAACCAUUAUGUACAAAUUAUUCAUAAAUGCCUUAUUCAAGGUUUGGUAUUUCAGAUUGAUUUAGCAACCACUUUUUACUUUUU